CCUACGGGUGGCAGCAGUGAGGAAUAUUGGUCAAUGGGCGUAAGCCUGAACCAGCCAAGUCGCGUGAGGGCUGAAGGUUCUAUGGAUCGUAACCCUCUUUUAUAAGGGAAUAAAGUGUGGGACGUGUCCUGUUUUGUAUGUACCUUAUGAAUAAGGAUCGGCUAACUCCGUGCCAGCCGCCGCGGUAAUACGGAGGCUCCGCGCGUUAUCCGGAUUUAUUGGGUUUAAAGGGUGCGUAGGCGGCCGUUUAAGUCAGCGGUGAAAGUCUGUGGCUCAACCAUAGAAUUGCCGUUGAAACUGGGAGGCUUGAGUAUGGUUGAGGCAGGCGGAAUGCGUGGUGUAGCGGUGAAAUGCUUAGAUAUCACGCAGAACCCCGAUUGCGAAGGCAGCCUGCCAAGCCAUGACUGACGCUGAUGCACGAAAGCGUGGGGAUCAAACAGGAUUAGAUACCCCAGUAGUC
rnacentral:rRNA from 1 species